UUCUAUAAGAAAUAGUUUAUAGUAAAAUCUGCUCAAUGAAAAAUAAAUAGCCGCAAUUCUGUGCUAAGGUAGCAUAAUAAUUUGUCUUUUAAUUGAAGUCUAGAACAAAUGAUUUAACAUUUAAAUUAACAUCUUUAAUAUAAAAAUUAAACUUAUUUUAAAUAUAAAAAAAUAUUUAUAUGUAAGAAAGACGACAAGACCCUAUUGAACUUUACUAUUGUUUAACUGGGGCAGUUAAAUAAUUAAUAUUUUUUUAAUAAAACCACUAAAUAUCUAAUAUAAUUAAAAAUUAUCAAGUUACCAUAGGGAUAACAGUACAAUUCUUAUUUAAAGAUCUUAUAUAAAUAAUAAAUUUGUAACCUCGAUGUUGAAUAAUUUCCUAAUUAAAGCAAAAUUUAAUAAAGUAAGUCUGUUCGACUUUCAAAAAAUUACA
rnacentral:rRNA from 1 species